UGGCUCAGAUUUGAACGCUGGCGGCAUGCUUUACACAUGCAAGUCGGACGGCAGCACAGAGAAGCUUUGCUUUCUUGGGUGGCGAGCGGCGAACGGGUGAGUAACAUAUCGGAACGUACCGAGUAAUGGGGGAUAACUAAUCGAAAGAUUAGCUAAUACCGCAUAUUCUCUGAGGAGGAAAGCAGGGGACCUUCGGGCCUUGCGUUAUUUUGAGCGGCCGAUAUCUGAUUAGCUAGUUGGUGGGGUAAAGGCCUACCAAGGCGACGAUUCAGUAGCGGGUCUGAGAGGAUGAUUCCGCCACACUGGGACUGAGACACGGCCCAGACUCCUACGGGAGGCAGCAGUGGGGAAUUUUGGACAAUGGGCGCAAGCCUGAUUCCAGCCAUGCCGCGUGUCUGAAAAAGGCCUUCGGGUUUGUAAAGGACUUUUUGUCAGGGAAGAAAAGGACAGGGUUAAUACCCCUGUCUGAUGACGGUACCUGAAGAAUAAGCACCGGCUAACUACGUGCCAGCAGCCGCGGUAAUACGUAGGGUGCGAGCGUUAAUCGGAAUUACUGGGCGUAAAGCGAGCGCAGACGGUUACUUAAGCAGGAUGUGAAAUCCCCAGGCUCAACCUGGGAACUGCGUUCUGAACUGGGUGGCUAGAGUGUGUCAGAGGGAGGUAGAAUUCCACGUGUAGCAGUGAAAUGCGUAGAGAUGUGGAGGAAUACCGAUGGCGAAGGCAGCCUCCUGGGAUAACACUGACGUUCAUGCUCGAAAGCGUGGGUAGCAAACAGGAUUAGAUACCCUGGUAGUCCACGCCCUAAACGAUGUCAAUUAGCUGUUGGGCAACUUGAUUGCUUAGUAGCGUAGCUAACGCGUGAAAUUGACCGCCUGGGGAGUACGGUCGCAAGAUUAAAACUCAAAGGAAUUGACGGGGACCCGCACAAGCGGUGGAUGAUGUGGAUUAAUUCGAUGCAACGCGAAGAACCUUACCUGGUCUUGACAUGUACGGAAUCCUCCAGAGACGGAGGAGUGCCUUCGGGAGCCGUAACACAGGUGCUGCAUGGCUGUCGUCAGCUCGUGUCGUGAGAUGUUGGGUUAAGUCCCGCAACGAGCGCAACCCUUGUCAUUAGUUGCCAUCAUUUAGUUGGGCACUCUAAUGAGACUGCCGGUGACAAGCCGGAGGAAGGUGGGGAUGACGUCAAGUCCUCAUGGCCCUUAUGACCAGGGCUUCACACGUCAUACAAUGGUCGGUACAGAGGGUAGCCAAGCCGCGAGGUGGAGCCAAUCUCACAAAACCGAUCGUAGUCCGGAUUGCACUCUGCAACUCGAGUGCAUGAAGUCGGAAUCGCUAGUAAUCGCAGGUCAGCAUACUGCGGUGAAUACGUUCCCGGGUCUUGUACACACCGCCCGUC
rnacentral:rRNA from 1 species